GCGAAGCGUGGGGCAGCGGGGGGGGUAGGAGGUAGGGGGGUAGCGUGUGCGGGAGUCAUUGGGCGGAAAGGGCGCGGAGGCGGGCCGGAAAGUGGGGGGUGAAAACCCGGGGCUCAACCUCGGGCGUGCACUCCAAACUGCCGGGCUCGAGGCAGGUAGGGGAGAUCGGAAUUCCUGGUGUAGCGGUGAAAUGCGCAGAUAUCAGGAGGAACACCGGUGGCGAAGGCGGAUCUCUGGGCCUGAUCUGACGCUGAGGCGCGAAAGCUAGGGGAGCGAACAGGAUUAGAUACCCUAGUAGUC
rnacentral:rRNA from 1 species